rnacentral:rRNA from 1 species
GGGUUGUGAGGUUAAGCGACUAAGCGUACACGGUGGAUGCCCUGGCAGUCAGAGGCGAUGAAGGACGUGCUAAUCUGCGAUAAGCGUCGGUAAGGUGAUAUGAACCGUUAUAACCGGCGAUUUCCGAAUGGGGAAACCCAGUGUGUUUCGACACACUAUCAUUAACUGAAUCCAUAGGUUAAUGAGGCGAACCGGGGGAACUGAAACAUCUAAGUACCCCGAGGAAAAGAAAUCAACCGAGAUUCCCCCAGUAGCGGCGAGCGAACGGGGAGCAGCCCAGAGCCUGAAUCAGUGUGUGUGUUAGUGGAAGCGUCUGGAAAGGCGCGCGAUACAGGGUGACAGCCCCGUACACAAAAAUGCACAUAUUGUGAGCUCGAUGAGUAGGGCGGGACACGUGGUAUCCUGUCUGAAUAUGGGGGGACCAUCCUCCAAGGCUAAAUACUCCUGACUGACCGAUAGUGAACCAGUACCGUGAGGGAAAGGCGAAAAGAACCCCGGCGAGGGGAGUGAAAAAGAACCUGAAACCGUGUACGUACAAGCAGUGGGAGCCUCUUUUAUGGGGUGACUGCGUACCUUUUGUAUAAUGGGUCAGCGACUUAUAUUCUGUAGCAAGGUUAACCGAAUAGGGGAGCCGAAGGGAAACCGAGUCUUAACUGGGCGUUAAGUUGCAGGGUAUAGACCCGAAACCCGGUGAUCUAGCCAUGGGCAGGUUGAAGGUUGGGUAACACUAACUGGAGGACCGAACCGACUAAUGUUGAAAAAUUAGCGGAUGACUUGUGGCUGGGGGUGAAAGGCCAAUCAAACCGGGAGAUAGCUGGUUCUCCCCGAAAGCUAUUUAGGUAGCGCCUCGUGAAUUCAUCUCCGGGGGUAGAGCACUGUUUCGGCAAGGGGGUCAUCCCGACUUACCAACCCGAUGCAAACUGCGAAUACCGGAGAAUGUUAUCACGGGAGACACACGGCGGGUGCUAACGUCCGUCGUGAAGAGGGAAACAACCCAGACCGCCAGCUAAGGUCCCAAAGUCAUGGUUAAGUGGGAAACGAUGUGGGAAGGCCCAGACAGCCAGGAUGUUGGCUUAGAAGCAGCCAUCAUUUAAAGAAAGCGUAAUAGCUCACUGGUCGAGUCGGCCUGCGCGGAAGAUGUAACGGGGCUAAACCAUGCACCGAAGCUGCGGCAGCGACGCUGAUGCGUUGUUGGGUAGGGGAGCGUUCUGUAAGCCUGUGAAGGUGUACUGUGAGGUAUGCUGGAGGUAUCAGAAGUGCGAAUGCUGACAUAAGUAACGAUAAAGCGGGUGAAAAGCCCGCUCGCCGGAAGACCAAGGGUUCCUGUCCAACGUUAAUCGGGGCAGGGUGAGUCGACCCCUAAGGCGAGGCCGAAAGGCGUAGUCGAUGGGAAACAGGUUAAUAUUCCUGUACUUGGUGUUACUGCGAAGGGGGGACGGAGAAGGCUAUGUUGGCCGGGCGACGGUUGUCCCGGUUUAAGCGUGUAGGCUGGUUUUCCAGGCAAAUCCGGAAAAUCAAGGCUGAGGCGUGAUGACGAGGCACUACGGUGCUGAAGCAACAAAUGCCCUGCUUCCAGGAAAAGCCUCUAAGCAUCAGGUAACAUUGAAUCGUACCCCAAACCGACACAGGUGGUCAGGUAGAGAAUACCAAGGCGCUUGAGAGAACUCGGGUGAAGGAACUAGGCAAAAUGGUGCCGUAACUUCGGGAGAAGGCACGCUGAUAUGUAGGUGAAGUCCCUCGCGGAUGGAGCUGAAAUCAGUCGAAGAUACCAGCUGGCUGCAACUGUUUAUUAAAAACACAGCACUGUGCAAACACGAAAGUGGACGUAUACGGUGUGACGCCUGCCCGGUGCCGGAAGGUUAAUUGAUGGGGUCAGCGCAAGCGAAGCUCUUGAUCGAAGCCCCGGUAAACGGCGGCCGUAACUAUAACGGUCCUAAGGUAGCGAAAUUCCUUGUCGGGUAAGUUCCGACCUGCACGAAUGGCGUAAUGAUGGCCAGGCUGUCUCCACCCGAGACUCAGUGAAAUUGAACUCGCUGUGAAGAUGCAGUGUACCCGCGGCAAGACGGAAAGACCCCGUGAACCUUUACUAUAGCUUGACACUGAACAUUGAGCCUUGAUGUGUAGGAUAGGUGGGAGGCUUAGAAGUGUGGACGCCAGUCUGCAUGGAGCCGACCUUGAAAUACCACCCUUUAAUGUUUGAUGUUCUAACGUUGACCCGUGAUCCGGGUUGCGGACAGUGUCUGGUGGGUAGUUUGACUGGGGCGGUCUCCUCCUAAAGAGUAACGGAGGAGCACGAAGGUUGGCUAAUCCUGGUCGGACAUCAGGAGGUUAGUGCAAUGGCAUAAGCCAGCUUGACUGCGAGCGUGACGGCGCGAGCAGGUGCGAAAGCAGGUCAUAGUGAUCCGGUGGUUCUGAAUGGAAGGGCCAUCGCUCAACGGAUAAAAGGUACUCCGGGGAUAACAGGCUGAUACCGCCCAAGAGUUCAUAUCGACGGCGGUGUUUGGCACCUCGAUGUCGGCUCAUCACAUCCUGGGGCUGAAGUAGGUCCCAAGGGUAUGGCUGUUCGCCAUUUAAAGUGGUACGCGAGCUGGGUUUAGAACGUCGUGAGACAGUUCGGUCCCUAUCUGCCGUGGGCGCUGGAGAACUGAGGGGGGCUGCUCCUAGUACGAGAGGACCGGAGUGGACGCAUCACUGGUGUUCGGGUUGUCAUGCCAAUGGCACUGCCCGGUAGCUAAAUGCGGAAGAGAUAAGUGCUGAAAGCAUCUAAGCACGAAACUUGCCCCGAGAUGAGUUCUCCCUGACCCUUUAAGGGUCCUGAAGGAACGUUGAAGACGACGACGUUGAUAGGCCGGGUGUGUAAGCGCAGCGAUGCGUUGAGCUAACCGGUACUAAUGAACCGUGAGGCUUAACCUUACAACGCCGAAG